GACGAACGCUGGCGGCGUGCUUAACACAUGCAAGUCGAACGGAAAGGCCCUGCUUUUGUGGGGUGCUCGAGUGGCGAACGGGUGAGUAACACGUGAGUAACCUGCCCUUGACUUUGGGAUAACUUCAGGAAACUGGGGCUAAUACCGGAUAGGAGCUCCUGCUGCAUGGUGGGGGUUGGAAAGUUUCGGCGGUUGGGGCUGGACUCGCGGCUUAUCAGCUUGUUGGUGGGGUAGUGGCUUACCAAGGCUUUGACGGGUAGCCGGCCUGAGAGGGUGACCGGCCACAUGGGGACUAAGAUACGGCCCAGACUGCUACGGGAGGCAGCAGGGGGAAAUAUGGCACAAUGGGAGGAAGCGGGAUGCAGCAGCGCCGCGGUCGGGAUGACGGCUUUCGGGUUGUAAACCGCUUUCGCCUGUGACGAAGCGUGAGUGACGGUAAUGGGUAAAGAAGCACCGGCUAACUACGUG
rnacentral:rRNA from 1 species